AUGUCAGUUGACAUCUGGGUGUUGCAGGACUAUGAAAGCGAGGUCUGGACCCUCAAGUGCCAUAUUAAAUUGCCGGUUACAGAGGUUAGGGCGCGGUGUGAAAGUCUUGAUGAUGAUGAAUACUGGGAUGUGGUGGUCGAGCCUGGGGAUGGUCAGUUGAUCGUGCUGGUCAAACUUGCCGAGUGGCUGCUUCAAGUUGACAUGGAUGGCAAGUUGGUCGCCAAUUUCCAUCGCCAAGGUGUCUGGCCUACUCAAUUUCAACUCAAACAAUCUCUUGUUCCGCAUGCCUUCUUUCCAACACUAGAGGGCUAUGUUGUGAACGAGGUGCCUUUCUUAUGA
rnacentral:rRNA from 1 species